rnacentral:rRNA from 1 species
GACGAACGCUGGCGGCGUGCCUAAUACAUGCAAGUCGAACGCAGUGGGGACGGGUGAGUAACACGUGGGUAACCUGCCAUCAGAGGGGAUAACACUUGGAAACCGGUGCUAAACCGAUACUGAUGGAUGAACCCGCGGUGCAUUAGCUAGUUGGUGAGGUAACGGCUCACCAAGGCCACGAUGCAUAGCCGGCCUGAGAGGGUGAUCAGCCACACUGGGACUGAGACACGGCCCAGACUCCUACGGGAGGCAGCAGUAGGGAAUAUUGGGCAAUGGACGCAAGUCUGACCGAGCCACGCCGCGUGAGUGAAGAAGGUCUUCGGGUCGUAAAGCUCUUUUGUUAGAGAAGCGGUAUCUAAACAGAAAGCAACGGCUAACUACGUGCCAGCAGCCGCGGUAAUAC